rnacentral:lncRNA from 1 species
AAAAGAUUAAAAUUUUUAAAAUAUAUUUCUUCCCAUUUUUAAUCAAUUUCCAUGAACAAGAACAUAGUUUCUAUUUAAAGCAAAAUAAAGAAUUUUAGUUAUUUUGCAUGUGAAUACCUCCCCAGUAGACUAUGUAUAAUCUAUCCCUGAACACUUGGAAAGAAGGUAAUUAAUACUCCCUGAGACAACUGUCUCCAAAUGGAACCCAACUUGAUCAUAAGUCUGUAGGCAAUGGAUGGUCUGUGGGGAUGACACUUGCAUAUCAUCCCCAGAUGAGAUUAUUCAUGGCUGCAUUAUAGCAUCCAGCAGCUCCCACUGAUUAGUGGGAACAAAACACAUGGAUUUACUUUCAACAUGAGCAUGUCAAGUGGGAUUGAAAAGGAAAAAUGAUAGAGCAUUUCUAAUGAAAUGGAUAAGAAAGUGCCAAAGGUAGAGGAGGGAAUGAGAGGGAUCCUUUCAGAAGCAGAUAUCAUUUAUAGAGAGAUGGGUGAAGAGUUUUUGGUUCUAUGAAGAUUAGGCGGACUUACCUUGAGGAGGAUUUUCUGGGUAGGACUGGAGACUUGUCCUCGUGUUUUGGUGGUUAGGUAAAGUAAUGUAAGAGGCAAAAGAAUGAACUGCAAGAAUUUUGAGGUUGAUUUAGUAAAAUUAUUCAUAAGUUAAGAAGCAAAUAUUCAGUCAUUCUUCAGGCCAGUGAUGGGUGAAAUUUUUAGGAUAUACCAGAUAUCAAAACAAAUAAUGAUCUUUGUCUUCAUGUGCCAAAUCUGUUAAAUUCUGAUCAUCACAUUUAAUACUUUGAAUAAUUCUAUAAAAUAGACAUUAUUGUUUCUAUUCCACAGCUAAGGAAACUGAGGCCUGAACACAAUAAGAAUCUUGUUCAAAGUCUUACUGGCUCUAAAAUUGUACUUUUUACUCCCCAUAUUCUGAAAUUUUAGCUGCUUUACCAUCCAAACUUCUUAGAAAAUGAGAUUGAGUUUUCUAGUUCAUAAUGAGAUACACACUUCAAGACACCCCUAAUAUCCUGUGUCAGAACAAAAGAUAAAAGUUUUAAAAAUAUAUUAUUUAUAUAUAUCCUAUAUUAUUCCAAACACAUAAGAGUCAUGUAAAUAAUUAGCUGGAUUCUCACCUCUAAUAACUCAAUAGAGUGUACCAGGUUAUAUAGGGAAUCAAUAUUUUUUUCCGUAUGAUCUGAUAAAAGAGAACAGCCCUUAUGCAGAAUUACUUUAAUCACUACAGAGGGGAAAGUUUCAAUGGAAAUGCCUAUGUCAGCCUAUCUUCAGGAUUCACUGGCAAAAACUAUUUGUUGCUGUCAUUUCUUUACCCUUUUAUAGCUGAUGUGUGCCUGUGUUUUUUUUAAGAGAUAGAGAGAAUUCUAAUAUUUAUUUUUUAGUUUUCGGCAGACACAACAUCUUUGUUUGUAUGUGGUGCUGAGGAUUGAACCUGGGCCGCACGCAUGCCAGGCUAGCGCGCUACCUCUUGAACCACAUCCCCAGCCCUGUGCCUGUGUUUAAAGUUAGGCAUUCCAAGAGUUCUUAGGCCAAGGAUUGUUGAAAUAGACUAUCACUUUUCUGUGACCCAUCCCACAGCUCUUUUUUUACAGAGGUCACAUGUACACAGCAUGUGUCUUAAUAUAGGUGACUUCUUCCCUUAGUGUCACAUGGUCCUUCUUUCUAAUGUCAGCUGAAGGGACCUCUUUCCCAUGUUGUGUUAAGCUUCCACAACCAGGCGCUAGAGAGUGACAUGACUUUCCAGUAUACAAACAGCCGUAGGUGUUUCCUCAAACUAGGAAUUUGUAUUUUGGGGGUUUUUACUCUUGUGUAUUUGGUAUUGUGAUGGUCCCUGUUUCAAGUGUAAGAAAAGGAAGUGUUCAUGAUGAAGGAAAUGUUCUAUUAGAAAGUCGCAUACUUAUAAUACUUAAGUCUCUCUCUCUCUCUCUCUCUCUCUCUCUCUCUCUCUCUCUCUCUCUCUCUGGUAGUACUGGGAGUAGAACCCAGGGUACUCUACAACUGAGCUACAUCCCAGCCUUUUAAAUUUUUUUUUAUUUUGAGGCAUGGUCUCACUAAGUUACUGAAGCUGUUCUUUAACUUUCAAUCCUCCUGCCUCAACCUCCCAAAUUAAUGGGAUUGAUUAUAAGCAUGUACCACUUUGCCAGCUAAAAGGCUCAAAUUUCUAACAAAUCGUGUCUGAAAAUGUCUUAAAUGUAGGACAUAUGUAAAAAAGCAACUUACAUAUUAUCAAAGUCAUUCUUGUAUUUCCAUUUCAAAUGAGAUAUUUUCUUGUUCUAAAGUUUUCUUUUCUUGGCAUUUUCAAGCAGGAUGCUUAUAUUUAGUUCUUUGAUUAUUUGGUCUUGACCGGCUGUUGCAUCUCUUUUUAAACAUUUCAAAAGUUACAUUGAUAGUUCCAAAUCCUAUGGGCAACUUGUUUUUUUCUAUUCAGACAUCCAUGGAUUGUGGAUUCCCAGACCAAACUGACAUUUCAUGGCAGUUUUCCAUCUUUGUAAAAUAUCUGCCCCUUGCUGGUAUUCACUGAGAAGUUAGCUUAGACUAGUGGGUUUCUGUAACCUGGGCUUUUGAUAUUAGGCUUGGACUGGAGUACCAACUCACAAAGGAAAGGAGCAGGUCUGAGAGGUUUAUUCACUUUCAGUGAAACAGAACUUUUCUCUUUCUGAAGGCUUUAAACAUAAAAUUAAUUUCAAAAAUACUGUAAAGAAAGUGUUUCAUUGCUUCCCAAAUCUUAUAUGUGAGUCUACAGUCUGUCCAUGGGAGAAUUUCAGCCACUGUCUUGCAGGGUUAAGCUGUACUACUUAUUGGUUUUUAAUUUUCUUCUUGGGUAGCAUAGUCCCUCCAAAGAAAAUUUCCUAAAUGACAGCACAAUGGUUUCUCCUCCAUUUCUGUGACUAACAAGUCCCAGGAAACAGACGUAGACAUAUGCUAUGCCCAAUUUAGUACCUAAUAGUUGAGGCUUAAAACAAAAUUUUCUUGGGCAAAUUGGGUGAUUAAAUAUGAAUUAAAAAUUCCAAUGAAAGAUUUCCAGAUGCCCUUGCUUUCCAUUUUGAUUACAUUUUUAUUUCUAUAUUAAUUUGGAGAAAAAUAACUUUAAGUACUUUUUUACAAGCAGCAACCUGAUAUCUUAAAAGUGGUGACAUCUCUGCAGGUGAUAUAUACAUUAUAAUUCAGGAUAAAGGUAGCUUUAAACUAAGAUAGUAUGGGAUGAAAUAAAAGCAAGCUAUGGAUAAUGGUCAUGUUUAUUGCAGUAGUACCCUGAGAACUUAAGUUUAGCGGCAUUUGAGGUGAUUCAGAUUAUCUCGCUUUUACAUCUCAACCUGCUGUGCUGAGGCAGAGGGACAAUUGUGAAUUGCCCAUUAGUGUAAUGGACAAUUCGAAACAGUUUUGGCUAUAGAUAAAACUUGCAGUUUUGUGUUUUGGCUAUAGAUAAAUUUGGCAUAAGGUUCUGUAGAUCUUUCUGAUCCAUAUUUGUCCUUAAAGACAAUUUCACCAAUCAAUAAAAUGAAUUAUUCAUUCAAAAGUAUGGUUGUUCAGUAGCGUAUGACAUUGACAUAGAAACCCAAAUGCUCCUUGUUUGAGAUUCUGCAUGCCUUGUAAGUUUGACUGAAUCAAAUGUUGUUUUCAUUAUGCUCUCAAUGGUAUUGCUUCACACGUGUAACUCUGUAACUCUGUUGUAUUAUUACUUUACUUUCAUUUCAACUCAUG